rnacentral:rRNA from 1 species
CUAACGUUGACCCGUGAUCCGGGUUGCGGACAGUGUCUGGUGGGUAGUUUGACUGGGGCGGUCUCCUCCUAAAGAGUAACGGAGGAGCACGAAGGUUGGCUAAUCCUGGUCGGACAUCAGGAGGUUAGUGCAAUGGCAUAAGCCAGCUUGACUGCGAGCGUGACGGCGCGAGCAGGUGCGAAAGCAGGUCAUAGUGAUCCGGUGGUUCUGAAUGGAAGGGCCAUCGCUCAACGGAUAAAAGGUACUCCGGGGAUAACAGGCUGAUACCGCCCAAGAGUUCAUAUCGACGGCGGUGUUUGGCACCUCGAUGUCGGCUCAUCACAUCCUGGGGCUGAAGUAGGUCCCAAGGGUAUGGCUGUUCGCCAUUUAAAGUGGUACGCGAGCUGGGUUUAGAACGUCGUGAGACAGUUCGGUCCCUAUCUGCCGUGGGCGCUGGAGAACUGAGGGGGGCUGCUCCUAGUACGAGAGGACCGGAGUGGACGCAUCACUGGUGUUCGGGUUGUCAUGCCAAUGGCACUGCCCGGUAGCUAAAUGCGGAAGAGAUAAGUGCUGAAAGCAUCUAAGCACGAAACUUGCCCCGAGAUGAGUUCUCCCUGACCCUUUAAGGGUCCUGAAGGAACGUUGAAGACGACGACGUUGAUAGGCCGGGUGUGUAAGCGCAGCGAUGCGUUGAGCUAACCGGUACUAAUGAACCGUGAGGCUUAACCUU